UAUACAGUCAAAUUCAGAAUACUAUAAUACUGUAAUGGUGGUGUGUAGAUUGCUUAUACAUGUAGUAUAAAGGUUAAGAGGUAAAAUUAUUAAAAUAAUAUCUACAAUAAUUUGUUAACAGAUAACACAUUAUAAAAAGAAAUAAAUUAUACCAUCAAAACCAUAAAAUGUGGUGAGGGGGUGGAGCCAAAGUGUAGAGUUUUUUAAUGCACUCAAAGUUAAGUUGUUACCAGCUUAAAAUAGCCAGUUACAAGAUGUUUUAGGCUGGGUGUGGUGGCUCAGGCCUGUACUCCUAGCACUUUAGGAGGCCGAGGCAGGAGGACUGCUUGAGUUCAAGGCAGGAGUUUGAGACCAGCCUGGGCAACAUAGCAAGACCCCAUCUCUACAAAAAAAAAUUUUAAACUUAGCCGGGUGUGGUCGUUGCAUGCCUCUAGUUGCAGCUAUUCAGGAGGCUGAGGUGGUAGGACUGCUUAAGCCCAGGAGGUUGAGGCGGUGGGCUGUGAUUGCACCACUGCACUCCAGCCUAGGUGACAGAGCAAGACUCUGUCUCAAAAAUAAAUAAAUAAAUAAAAUUUCGAGUAGGAUUUAUCACAAGGAUGCAAGGUUGGUUCAACA
rnacentral:lncRNA from 10 species